rnacentral:rRNA from 1 species
UCAUGGCUCAGGACGAACGCUGGCGGCGUGCCUAAUACAUGCAAGUCGAGCGGACAGAAGGGAGCUUGCUCCCGGAUGUUAGCGGCGGACGGGUGAGUAACACGUGGGUAACCUGCCUGUAAGACUGGGAUAACUCCGGGAAACCGGAGCUAAUACCGGAUAGUUCCUUGAACCGCAUGGUUCAAGGAUGAAAGACGGUUUCGGCUGUCACUUACAGAUGGACCCGCGGCGCAUUAGCUAGUUGGUGGGGUAAUGGCUCACCAAGGCGACGAUGCGUAGCCGACCUGAGAGGGUGAUCGGCCACACUGGGACUGAGACACGGCCCAGACUCCUACGGGAGGCAGCAGUAGGGAAUCUUCCGCAAUGGACGAAAGUCUGACGGAGCAACGCCGCGUGAGUGAUGAAGGUUUUCGGAUCGUAAAGCUCUGUUGUUAGGGAAGAACAAGUGCGAGAGUAACUGCUCGCACCUUGACGGUACCUAACCAGAAAGCCACGGCUAACUACGUGCCAGCAGCCGCGGUAAUACGUAGGUGGCAAGCGUUGUCCGGAAUUAUUGGGCGUAAAGGGCUCGCAGGCGGUUUCUUAAGUCUGAUGUGAAAGCCCCCGGCUCAACCGGGGAGGGUCAUUGGAAACUGGGAAACUUGAGUGCAGAAGAGGAGAGUGGAAUUCCACGUGUAGCGGUGAAAUGCGUAGAGAUGUGGAGGAACACCAGUGGCGAAGGCGACUCUCUGGUCUGUAACUGACGCUGAGGAGCGAAAGCGUGGGGAGCGAACAGGAUUAGAUACCCUGGUAGUCCACGCCGUAAACGAUGAGAGCUAAGUGUUAGGGGGUUUCCGCCCCUUAGUGCUGCAGCUAACGCAUUAAGCA